GCUGGAAUAGCUCAGUCGGUAGAGCAACGCACUCGUAACGCGUAGGUCGCAGGUUCAAUUCCUGUUUCCAGCA
rnacentral:tRNA from 1 species